ensembl:lncRNA
GGCAUUCUUUUCCUGUGAAGGUCUUGGGGAUGGCAUCCCCCUUUCACAUAAGAAAACAAGGAGGCAAAAGAGGGCGUGUGGGGUGAUCAAGAAGUCCCUUCAAAAGUUGUACUUUAUUGGCUUUGAUUUUAUUUAACAAUGAAUCGGUUUUAUCCCCACUGUAGGGAAGAAUUCCUUUUGGGUCCUGCAAGUUUGGGAGGAGAGAAGGGUCCUGUGGGAAUGGGGGCAGAAGCCCUUUUGAUAUAUCCUGAAUUGUUGAGGGAAGCGUUCCUAUUUUGUACCCUAGUUGAGACAAGAUGAGACAGAACCUGGACUUGAAGGCGCUAGAAAGAACUGGAAACCCAGGCCAGCCCGCUCUUGCACGGGCAGAGGGGCUUGGAGCUCCCCCUGGUGGCUGAUGGCGAGGCUUCAUCGGAGAAGUUAUUGCAGCCCUUCCGCAGGAGCCUGACGAGCUUUGCCUGCCCUUCCCCUACGGGCCUUUACAUCUGUCGUGCCAACGUGGAGCGGGCUCUCUAGGGCAGAGGAAGAACCCCGCGCUUCCCUAUGAUCGUAUGAAGUGAUGUGUGAAAAAUGCUUUGCAAACCUUGAAUUCCACGUAAAUGCUGUUUUCUGGUUCUGCGUUGUCAGCGCCACAAACUGGCAAAGGCUGAAGACCGAGGCUAGCCUGUUUGUUUUGUCGACUGUCCAGGCUCAGAGUGAUGGAGAAAUGCCGUCGAUGAAGCCCAGACUCAGGCGUUUACCGGCGGAGAAUGCCGCAGCCCUCCUUGGCACCGGCGGACGGUGGGGAACCGGCUAAAAUUCAGAAACUAGAUUAAAACUUCCCAGACCUCGCAGCAUGGCACCCUUCAUCAGACUGUGGGCUCCUUCACUUACUCAGUAAACAUUUAUUAAGCACCUUCGAUGUGCCGGGCACAGUGUUAAGAGGUAAGGAUGCCAAUCGUCCUCCGACGGUGCUCCAGGUGACAAAGGCCCCUCAGCAGGGCAAGCUGAGCCUCCACCUGCUUCCUGUCACUUAUUAUUGCUAGGUGUUGCUAACAUGAGACAAGUCAUGCUACCAAGCCUCAGUUUUCUCAUCUGUCAAAUAGGGACAGCGAUCCCUGUCCUGACUACCUCACAGCAUUGCUGUGGGGGUCAAAUAAGAGAAUGCUGGUAAAACCCUUCACAGACCGUAAAGAGCAGGCCGGGGUGUCACAGAGCACUGGAGCGGGGGUUGAAGUCCUGGGCCUGCAAUUGCCCCUCUCUGUGCCUCAGUUUCCCUAUGCAGAAAUGAAGGCCAUAUUGAUAAUAACAGCGCUAAGGUUCACAGCAUGUUUCAGCUCCAUGAUCUCACUGGCUGCUCACAAUAGCUCUUUGUACGGGUCAGAACUGCCAGUGUGACUGGGGUCUAUUAGACACUUCUGGCCUCCUGGGGCUAUUAUGAGGCCAGGGCUUUGUGAGCCUUGAAGCCCUAGAUACAAGCUCAUUAUGCUUGUGAUUAAUGCACUAAUGCAGUCAGAGGUCCUGGCCUGGAAUUCCAGCACUGCCGUGGACCUCUCCAGGCCUCAGUUUCCUCCUCUGUAAAAGGAAUUGGACAGCCUCAAUGUUCCCUUCCAGUCCUUGACCCAUGACCCAUGACCCUCUUGUGUAGAGCAUAUCCAGUAUCCCAGAGCCGAUCUGGCUACAUCUCCUCCUUGGGGCUCUAGGGGUACCUCUGAGGGGUUGGGGGUGUCUCCCAUCUAGAGCUUGGUAUGAUCCUUGCUGGUGACCUGGCUCAGUUCUAUGGAACCACUCAACAUUAAUUAGCUCUUACUACUGGA